AGUGAACGCUGGCGGUAGGCCUAACACAUGCAAGUCGAACGGCAGCACAGUAAGAGCUUGCUCUUACGGGUGGCGAGUGGCGGACGGGUGAGGAAUACAUCGGAAUCUACUUUUUCGUGGGGGAUAACGUAGGGAAACUUACGCUAAUACCGCAUACGACCUACGGGUGAAAGCAGGGGAUCUUCGGACCUUGCGCGAUUGAAUGAGCCGAUGUCGGAUUAGCUAGUUGGCGGGGUAAAGGCCCACCAAGGCGACGAUCCGUAGCUGGUCUGAGAGGAUGAUCAGCCACACUGGAACUGAGAAACGGUCCAGACUCCUACGGGAGGCAGCAGUGGGGAAUAUUGGACAAUGGGCGCAAGCCUGAUCCAGCCAUACCGCGUGGGUGAAGAAGGCCUUCGGGUUGUAAAGCCCUUUUGUCGGGAAAGAAAAGCAGCAGGUUAAUACCCCGCUGUUCUGACGGUACCAAAAGAAUAAGCACCGGCUAACUUCGU
rnacentral:rRNA from 1 species